rnacentral:rRNA from 2 species
UGGGAAGCAAACAAACCGUUUGAGUUUUGUUUUCUGGCUCAGGACGAACGCUGGCGGCGUGCCUAAUACAUGCAAGUCGAGCGGAGAUUUGAAAAGCUUGCUUUUCAAAUCUUAGCGGCGGACGGGUGAGUAACACGUGGGCAACCUGCCCUUGAGACGGGGAUAACUCCGGGAAACCGGAGCUAAUACCGGAUAACACAUAUCUUCGCAUGAGGAUAUGUUAGAAGGUGGCUUUUAGCUACCACUCAAGGAUGGGCCCGCGGCGCAUUAGCUAGUUGGUGAGGUAACGGCUCACCAAGGCGACGAUGCGUAGCCGACCUGAGAGGGUGAUCGGCCACACUGGGACUGAGACACGGCCCAGACUCCUACGGGAGGCAGCAGUAGGGAAUCUUCCGCAAUGGACGAAAGUCUGACGGAGCAACGCCGCGUGAGUGAUGAAGGUUUUCGGAUCGUAAAGCUCUGUUGUUAGGGAAGAACAAGUACCUGUUAAAUAAGCAGGUACCUUGACGGUACCUAACCAGAAAGCCACGGCUAACUACGUGCCAGCAGCCGCGGUAAUACGUAGGUGGCAAGCGUUGUCCGGAAUUAUUGGGCGUAAAGCGCGCGCAGGCGGUUCCUUAAGUCUGAUGUGAAAGCCCACGGCUCAACCGUGGAGGGUCAUUGGAAACUGGGGAACUUGAGUGCAGAAGAGGAGAGCGGAAUUCCACGUGUAGCGGUGAAAUGCGUAGAGAUGUGGAGGAACACCAGUGGCGAAGGCGGCUCUCUGGUCUGUAACUGACGCUGAGGCGCGAAAGCGUGGGGAGCGAACAGGAUUAGAUACCCUGGUAGUCCACGCCGUAAACGAUGAGUGCUAAGUGUUAGAGGGUUUCCGCCCUUUAGUGCUGCAGCAAACGCAUUAAGCACUCCGCCUGGAGACUGAAGUU